rnacentral:rRNA from 1 species
AUGGUGGAUAAAUUCUCUAACAAGAUGAAAGGCUGGAAGCCAAAGUUGUUGGCUGCUGCUGGGCGUUUGGCACUUACUAGCUCAGUUCUCAUGGCUCUUCCCAUCCACUUCAUGUCAGUGCUCCCACUGCCGGUGUGGGCGAUCAAGGUUAUUGAACGAAGAUGCAGAGGUUUUGUCUAGAAAGGAGAGGAGGAAAUCAAUGGGGGACACUGUUUACUGCCGUGGACACGGGUCUGUAGGCCCAAGGAGUUGGGUGGCCUCAGUCUAGCCAACCUUAGAUUUUUCGGGAUGGCAUUGCGAAGCCGCUGUCCUAGCCUUAUAUGGGCUACAGAGGAAAGGCCCUGGCAUAGCUUGCCGGACACCACAUAG